AUUGAACGCUGGCGGCAGGCCUAACACAUGCAAGUAGAGCGAGGGGCGGACGGGUGAGUAAUGUCUGGGAAACUGCCUGAUGGGGGGGGAUAAAUACUGGAAACGGUCGCUAAUACCGCAUACCAUCAGAUGUGCCCAGAUGGGAUUCGCUUGUGGGUGGGGUAAUGGCUCACCCAGGAGACGAUCCCUAGCUGGUCUGAGAGGAUGACCAGCCACACUGUAACUGAGACACGGUCCAGACUCCUACGGGAGGCAGCAGUGGGGAAUAUUGCACAAUGGGCGCAAGCCUGAUGCAGCCAUGCCGCGUGUGUGAAGAAGGCCUUCGGGUUGUAAAGCACUUUCAGCGAGGAGGCGUUACUCGCAGAAGAAGCACCGGCUAACUCCGUGCCAGCAGCCGCGGUAAUAC
rnacentral:rRNA from 1 species